GGGAAUAUUGGACAAUGGGCGCAAGCCUGAUCCAGCCAUGCCGCGUGUGUGAGGAAGGCCUUCGGGUUGUAAAGCACUUUCAGCGGGGAGGAAGGGGUUGUUGUUAAUAGCAACAAUCUUUGACGUUACCCGCAGCAGAAGCACCGGCUAACUCCGUGCCAGCCGCCGCGGUAAUACGGAGGGUGCAAGCGUUAAUCGGAAUUACUGGGCGUAAAGCGCACGUAGGCGGUAUGUUAAGUUGGAUGUGAAAGCCCCGGGCUCAACCUGGGAAUUGCAUUCAAAACUGGCAUGCUAGAGUAUGUGAGAGGGGGGUAGAAUUCCAAGUGUAGCGGUGAAAUGCGUAGAGAUUUGGAGGAAUACCAGUGGCGAAGGCGGCCCCCUGGCACAAUACUGACGCUCAGGUGCGAAAGCGUGGGGAGCAAAC
rnacentral:rRNA from 1 species